GACUGUGAGAUACCAAGAAACACAAAGACCUUCAUUUAUUUGGGAUAUUUGGGAUUCUGCUCACACAUUCUAUUGAAUUCUCUUCAAUAGAUGGAUGUGGAUCUAGAAUUAUAAAGUAGUCCCAGCCAUUUUCAAGCCAAGGCUAUGAAUCAUCCUUGUUUUAAGCAUGAACUCCACACAAUUCUUGUUUGUGUCAAAGGAUGAAAAAGUUGUUUCCUUCGAGUUCCAGUCUCACAAGAACCUGCUUCAGAUGUGCUUUGGGAUAACGUUUCAUGUUAAGCCCCCAGAGGUGCAGGAAAAAAGGGAAUUUGACUAUUUCGACUGGAAAAAAGUUUCGCCAAAUUGGAUUGAGAGAAAAGCGGGCAGCUAACACAAUUCGUCGACACUAGAAGGCAGACAGGGAGCUGGGGAAAGGACACAUUGAUUCAAGCAAGACGCUUAUCCGCAAGCAGCAUGUGCUCGUCUUUCACACGCAUCUCCUCGCCCGGGGCCAUCUCCCGGAGCCUCUCCCCGCAGGACGGCUCCCACGCAAGCACACCCGCACCCCCCGCCUGAAUGAAGCAGCGAAGUAGCUCUGGGGAUAGAAGCACAGCCGUCUCAAACAACCUCCCUCAUCCCCACCACUGCUGCCUAUGCCUCAUCUACAUCUCUGGCAAUGGGGGGGGGGGGGGUCCUUUUAAAUUUUUUUUUUUUUUUUUUUUUUUUUUUUUUUUUAGUAUGGUGCAAAAUUCCAAGGUCUCCUAAAGGUGCCGCCGCCCGGCCGUACCUACCCAGGGCCUUCAUGUACUCGUCGAAGUUGUGGCUGUCCACCAGCUUCCAGGUGCCGCAGAAAGCCUCGACCAUGGCGGCCGGUGCGUGAUCCGAGCGCGGUGCCGGGGGUGGCAGAAGCGCCGGUCCUACCGCGCCGCCCCGCAUUUAAAGCAGGCGCCCGGCGGGGGGCCGGGGGCGGGGGGCGGCCGCGGUCCGCCCCCGACGGCCCCGCGGAGACGCCCCACACCGCCGGGGGAAGUCGCUCCCCGCCCCGGAGAAGGGGCACGGUGAUGACCAGCCGGGACACACGGUGGGACGCGGAGGGGAAGGGAGAGGAAACUGAAGCAUUGCUCCUCACCCGAGCCUCCCCGGGGGCACCCCCAUCGGUCCCCGUUACUACCCCUAAAUGUAAAGUAACACGGUGGAAAAAACAGAAGCGGGCACCCAACGUGAAAGACUCCACUGAGGGUCACAAUGCUACCGAGUUUUCCCAUGAAGAUUUUCAACCCCAGUUUGGUGUUGGCCAAGUCCAGAUCCCUUUACCCCUCACAGUAUCUAUAUGGAUGCUUUCUGAACUUGGCAUUUGGAGUUGCUGAUUGGAAACAGCACCUUGCCCCCACAAUUGGCAGCAUUUGGAGACUAAGAACGAAGAAAGAAGGAAAAGAGAUUAAAACUGUUUCUUUCUAUUUCUUCCCCCCCCCCCCCCCCCAAGAGAGGAAAUGUUUUCUUCCUAGUUGGUCUUUGAAAUCCUUUUAAGAUGCUAGGUGGUCAUCUUGUCUCUCAAAAGUUUUUCAGAAAGCAACCUGUCUCUGGGACACACCACAGUGUCAGCUUUUCCAGACCUAUGACUUGGAUGGAUUCCAGAAUACUGAAUCUAGCACUUCAGCUCUCGUAACAAAACUCAGGGACUGAGUGAAUUGCUGAGGAACAAAACCUCAGCAAUUUUUUACCUUGUUCAGCCAUACAAAAUAUAAAUAAUUAUGAAUAUUUUCCCAAUAUUUUUAAAUUAGUUUCUGACCAUCAUUUGCAUUUCUUUCAGGCUCUUGUAGUAUGGCACAUUCUUUAAGCGUAGGGCAAAUGAUGAUUUCUGAUGGGAUUUUAAGUAAAUUUGCCAUUUUCUCACUUGUCCUCAUAAGGAACUAAACCCUCUCUGAAUUAAUCCGAGGAGUAUAAUUCUAAUUCCUUUUACAACACAACACAAUUUUCAUUAAUCUUCAUAACCUAACGUUAUGAACUAGUGCAUCAAUUUCUCUUUAACCUUCCAUUCACUUACUUUGAAGCAAAAAGUGCCCUCCUGCAGCUGCUCAGUUUGUCUGACUGCCUCUUCUGACCAGCUCUUCUGAGGCUUUUCAGCCAGUGCUCAGAAAGCCAGGGAGACUGGAGCAUCACUUGAAAUAACAGACCUCCAGUUGUUCAUGAGACUGAAAGGAAUCAGGUCCCCCUUUUUUUUUUGUCAAAGUUGAGUAAUGCUGUGCCUCCAAAGUUUGCAGAGAAUAUCAGUCUUAGUGGUGCAUCUCAUAUGGAUGUUCCCUAACUUCAUGUCUGUAGUCAGUCAAACCCUCUGUAAUGAAUGAGUGCCAAUUACACUUUGUAAUUGGCAUUGUCAUGGCACAGGGCACAUGGGUUUGGUAUUGUGCAUGCGUGUCAUCCCUGGCUCCAGUUCAGUUUGGGGAUUGUGUUUCCUCAAUAGAGUAACAUUAUCAAGUAAAUAAUGCCCACCACUCGUAGCCAAACUCUGCAGUGGUGGUCUCACAGAGUCUCAUCGCUGGCACCCAGGCAGCUGACACACAAGUACAUGCAAACUGACCUUGUCACUUACUUCACCUGAGAUGCAUCAGUACCUAACGCGGACUACAAGAAAGCUGGAAAGGGACUUUUUCCAUGGGCAUGCAGUGAUAGGAGAAAGGGUAAAUGGCUUUAAACUGGAAGAGAAGAGGUUUAGACUAGAUAUUAACAAUAAAUUCUUCUAGUGCACAGGAACAUGGUCACAUCUUGCCUUUAGAGCAGAUUAAAUUUAAGACCUAUCAACCUCAGCAGUGUCUGGGUCAGUUUUCUUCCUCUGCACUGACAGGGAACAAAUUGAAGCUUCUCUGUCAUUUCUCAUGCUUUGAGUUAUUCCCUUCCUUUAGUACAUAGACCUGUUCCCUUCCUGAGGACGAUAAUUUUUCAGCCAAACUUGUGAAAUCAGUGAGACACUGGAACAUGUUGCCCACAGGAGCUGUGGAUGCCCCAUCCCUGGAACUAUUCCAGGCUAUGCUGGAUGGGGCUUUGAGCAACCUGAUCUAGUAAAAGGUGUCCCUGACCAUGAGGGGUGGGGGUUGGAACCAGAUGAUCCCUUCCAACACAAAUCAUUCUAUGAUUCUAUGAUAUUAAAUUCUAAAUGAUUUUACAAA